CCUACGGGUGGCUGCAGUGAGGAAUAUUGGUCAAUGGACGAGAGUCUGAACCAGCCAAGUAGCGUGAAGGAUGACUGCCCUAUGGGUUGUAAACUUCUUUUAUAUGGGAAUAAAACGUUCCACGUGUGGGAUUUUGUAUGUACCAUAUGAAUAAGGAUCGGCUAACUCCGUGCCAGCAGCCGCGGUAAUACGGAGGAUCCGAGCGUUAUCCGGAUUUAUUGGGUUUAAAGGGAGCGUAGGUGGAUUGUUAAGUCAGUUGUGAAAGUUUGCGGCUCAACCGUAAAAUUGCAGUUGAAACUGGCAGUCUUGAGUACAGUAGAGGUGGGCGGAAUUCGUGGUGUAGCGGUGAAAUGCUUAGAUAUCACGAAGAACUCCGAUUGAGAAGGCAGUUCACUGGACUGCAACUGACACUGAGGCUCGAAAGUGUGGGUAUCAAACAGGAUUAGAUACCCUUGUAGUC
rnacentral:rRNA from 1 species